UCAACUAAAUGAUUAGCAAUGAGUUGAAAUUUGGCACAUUUCAUAAUAGACUAAAGAAAGCCUUGUGGAGAUCUAAUUUACUGUAGUUUUUAUUCUUCAUACAAAUUUGGACCACUACACUAUAUGUUAAGAAUAUGAUUGGUAACUUUUCCGUCUGUUAUAUGAAAUAAACCAUUUUUAGUAGUAACUUAAUAAAGUUAUAACUAUAUAAUGUUAGAUGAUAUAAAAAAAUAUAUCAUCUAACAUCGUUACAAGAAACGUAAAAAGGAAUAUUAAAAAACCCCUCCUAUGAAAAGUCUAGGAAUAAAUACUUACAUUGAAUGCUUAUGCAUAACUUUAAUUAUUGGAUUGUUAUAACAACUUAGGCAUUAUUACGGAAAAGUUAUAAUAUUUUUAAAUAAUGAGUGUGCCUUAUUUUGAAAGUAUUUAAGAAUGAUGAUUAUGAAAGUCAUGUGACGAGAAAGGUAUUACGAAUGAAUGUGGAGGGAUGGAACGGGAGAGGAAAACCUAGGAAACGGUGGAUGGAUUGUGUGAGAGAUGACAUGAAACGAACGCGAGUGAAUGAUGAGAUGACGGGUGGCAGAAAAAUAUGGAAGAAAAAGACAUGCUGCGCCGACCCCAAAUGAAUGGGAUAAGGGCAAGCGAAUGAUGAUUAUGAUUAUGUUUCUGUAAUGUUUGAUUUCUUUUUUAGGUUUGAUUAUAUAUUUGAUUAUAAAAUAAUAAUAAUUAUCUGAGUAUUUGGAUUAAAUAGUUAUUUACCUAAUUGACUGAUUAAUUAUGAUACAUCUUCGACUUAAAUCUUCUAGUUCCUUAACCCCCUUGAGUUAUAAAAUGGUUGACGACGUACGUACGAGUUGCAUAUUUACUCAUUGUUUCGAGGUUUUUGACGUAAUAUGUAAAAAAAUUAUAAAUAAAUAAACAAAUAAUAAAAUAAAAUUAAUUUCAGUACAUCAAAACUAUAACUGCCAAAAAUGAGGGACAACUGCAAAUGAUCGUUACAAAACUUAGUGCAAUGAGAAACAAGCUUAAU